AAAUAGCCGCAGAAAUUUAACUGUGCUAAGGUAGCAUAAUCAUUAGGCUUUUAAUUAGAGUUUGGAAUGAAAGGGGACACCUUUAAUAACUAUACUAAAAUAAACCAUUAAAAUUAUAACAAAAAUAAAAAUAUUUUUAUAAAAAAAAAAGACGACAAGACCCUAUUGAACUUAACUUUAGUUAAGCUGGGGCAGCUAAUUAAAAAUCAUUUUAAUAUACAAAUAUUUUAAUCAAAACCUAAUAUAAUUAAAUCAAACAAGUUACCAUAGGGAUAACAGCGUAAUUUUUUAAUAAAGCUCUUAUAUAAUAAAAAGAUUGCGACCUCGAUGUUGAAUUAUUAACCUUUUUAGAGCAAAACCUAAAAAAGGGGGUC
rnacentral:rRNA from 1 species